rnacentral:rRNA from 1 species
GCAGGUGAUCGCCGUUGAAAGACGGUUUCCUCUUCGGAGGCACCUGCACAGGUGCUGCAUGGCUGUCGUCAGCUCGUGUCGUGAGAUGUUGGGUUAAGUCCCGCAACGAGCGCAACCCUUAUCCCCAGUUGCCAUCAGGUAAAGCUGGGAACUCUGGGGAGACUGCCGGUGAUAAACCGGAGGAAGGCGGGGAUGACGUCAAGUCCUCAUGGCCCUUACAUCCCGGGCUACACACGUGCUACAAUGGCAGGUACAGAGGGCUGCGAAGCCGCGAGGUGGAGCGAAUCCCAGAAAACCUGUCUCAGUCCGGAUUGAAGUCUGCAACUCGACUUCAUGAAGGCGGAAUCGCUAGUAACCGCGAAUCAGCAGGUCGCGGUGAAUACGUUCCCGGGCCUU